rnacentral:pre_miRNA from 1 species
UUGCUACUCCCUCUGUUCGGAAUUACUUGUCGUAGAAAUGGAUGUAUCUAGACGUAUUUUAGUUCUAGAUACAUCCAUUUCCAAGACAAGUAAUUCAGAACGGAGGGAGUAUAUG